CCCUUAGAUGUUCUGGGCUGCACGCGCGCUACACUGAUGCGCUCAACGAGUUUACGACCUUGCCCGGAAGGGUUGGGUAAUCUUUUUAAAACGCAUCGUGAUGGGGAUAGAUUAUUGCAAUUAUUAAUCUUUAACGAGGAAUUCCUAGUAAGCGCGAGUCAUCAGCUCGUGCUGAUUACGUCCCUGCCCUUUGUACACACCGCCCGUCGCUCCUACCGAUUGAGUGGUCCGGUGAAUUAUUCGGACUGCAACGCGUUCAGCUUCUGGAUGCAGUUGCGGAAAGUUUUGUAAACCUUAUCACUUAGAGGAAGGAGAAGUCGUAACA
rnacentral:rRNA from 1 species